rnacentral:lncRNA from 1 species
CAUGAGUGUGCAGGGAGGGAGGGAUCCCUUUUCACAGGCCCAGGGAAAUGCAAUUUUCUAUCCUUGGAAUUUGACGGUAUAAGGAAGAAGAACAAAAUAAAAGGCAUCUCCCUGCUGUGGAGGAAUGUAGCAUCAGGUUGAAAAAUAGAUUCUGGGAGAUCCCAGGAUGCAAAGAAGCCCAGAAGCUGCCAUGGGGAGCUCAGAUGUCCUCCAAAAGGGUGGGUCACCGACUGAGCCUUAAAGGAGGAGGCAGUACCAAUUCUUCAUCUUCAAAUGAGAAAAGGAAGGCUUGAAGAGGAAAGAGAUUUAGCCAAUGUACCCCAGUUAACAGUAUUUGGGGUACAUGGAGCUACUGUCGUCACUAUGGAGAGCUAAGUGCCAAGGGACUUGGACUUUCUCCAGGGUCCUCUGCACGAUGAAACAUGGCCGGAUCUGCAAUGGGAAGACUCAGGCUGAUACAGGGAUCCUCCCAACCACCUGCACAAACAGAUACUCCUGCCCUCAUUUCAGAAAAGAGGAUUCUGAGGGUCAGAGAAGCUCACCGGUCUACAUGGAUUUGAACCCAGAUCUGUCUGGAUUUAAUGUCGUUUUUUCUGAGGUACCAUACUCCUUCACCUGUAUAGAUGAAUAAACUGACCAAGGAAUUGAUUUUUUGUUUUUUAAAUGAGCUCAUAAUAAAAUCCAGGAGGAAUGGUUACAAGAUAGACCUGAGACUGUUCUCAGAGUGCCUGGGCAGUUUCCAGCCUUUACUUCACAGCAUUGCGCCAACCUCAGCUUCUCCUAGAGUAGGGUUGCCAGAUAAAUACAGGACACCCAGUUAAAUGUGAAUUUCAGAGAAACAGUGAAUAAUGUUUGAGUAUAAGUAUGUUCCAUGUAGUUCAUGAGACAUAUUUGUAGUGAAAAAAAAAACCAUUGAGUGCUUAUCUGAAAUUCAAAUCUGAGUGUCCCGUGCUUUUAUUGGCUAAAUCUGGCAAUCUCUUCCUGCUGGGAAGUCUCCUGCCUGGCUCCAGGUCCCAAGUGUUGCUCCAACAGAAGUUGCCAUGGCAGCCUGGCAGGCCUUCCAAAGCCUUCUAGAGCAGUCUCCACUCACCCCUGCAGCUUCCCCUCGCCCCUGCACGCUCUAGGUUCCCAACAAGCCCAGCUACUUUCAUUUUCCUGGAUGCCGCCCGCUGCUUCCAGCCUCCUGCUGCUUUUAGCCUCCAGUCUCUGCACUUGCUGUUCUUUCCCCUCUUCUCUUGUGCUAAUUUCUAGUCAUCCUUCAGCUCUCAAUUUGGAGUCACUUCUGCCAGGACGCCCUCCUGGCCAUUGCUGACUGGCUCCCCCCACAGCCCUCUAGUGCAGGGUUGGAUAGUACCCUGCACCUUCCCCUGGCAGCCCUCCCUCAACCACCCGGUAUCCCACACUGCCCUGGUGAGCAGAGGCCAUGCCACACUCACCUUGUCCCCACACCUUGCACCUGGCCGCAGGUGGGAAGCCAGUGAGUGCCUCCUGAAUGGAUGACUGCAGACUGUCCCACCAAUGCUGGGGCUCUCCAGUGUGACUACUUCCUUCCUCCCUUCUGUCUUUAGUCACUUUUUCAUCAGUGUCCUCCUCCCCCUCCCCCAGAGUGGUUGGGAAAGACAGGGCCUUCAGCAACAGCACUUGGGGUGAACAGAGAGCAUCCCACGUAGAGGGGCCUCCCAGCACCCACCACCACAUCACACCACGUGCACUGCCCCAGUGGGCUCAGACCCAGCCACAGCGCAGCUUCCGAGUUCCUCCUGGCUAAAGCCACCUCUAGGCACAACUUUCUGCUCUUGUCCUUCUGCUGGCUCCUUAAAUGAGCGGACUUGGAUUUUGCUCCCAGUUUGGGGUAUAGGGAGAUGCCAGUGUCAUGUGGUCGAGGCUUAGGGCAGGUGGCAGGGCUUGCAGAACAUCACCCAUAUGCCGCUCCACGCUCACCCACCCAAAGCGGUGCCCACGCGCAGCCUGACAGCAGGCAGAGGCAGCUCUGAACUUAACCCUUGAGUGGCACUCAGGAGGCGGCUUCUCAAGAUACCAGAAUGGCCAGUGUUAACUACACACACACACACACACACACACACACACACACAUACACACGAGCUCCCCUGUGCCCCAGAACACCCUUGCUUUCCUCCAGCCAGGGCUUGAUUCAGAAGAUGACCUCUCAGGUGCAAGGAGUGGCUGCAGGAGAGUCAGGGUGGGCUGGGGGUGAGACUAUAACCCCUGGGGCUGCGGAAGGGCCCGGGAGGGAGCGGGGAGCGGGGGCAGGAGCUGAAACCCCGUGGCUCCCUAACCUGAGCUUUAGAGGCAGCAGCCUGGCUGUGCCCUCACACCGUCACCCCUAGCCUCCCCCAGCCUCCCCUGUCUGAAUAUGUUGAGAGGACAAAGAGGGAGAAACACCCUAUAGUGUCAAAUUUACUCCAAAAAUAGAACCCCUCUUCCCCGCGGAAGGCUGGCGAGCUCCGGGCAUGUGCACAGCACCCACGGCUCCGAUUUCCUGGGUCUGGCCGUUUCUCCGGGAACUCCCAGCUCAGGUGCCCAGGAUCCCGGAAUUGUCCCCAACCCCUGCCACCCGGUCAAGCCUCCAACU